GGUCGGAUGGUGUAGUUGGUUAUCACGUUAGUCUCACACACUGAAGGCCCUCGGAUCGAGGCCGGGUUCGAUCA